CCAUUCCCGUCAAAAAAUUUUAUGUGCUCAAUGGCUUUCCGACAAUUUAUUGAGCAAACUUUUCCAAGGAACCCAUAUGUUUUGAAGGCUCUAACUAUUAAAAAACAAUGAAAAACCUGCGAAGUAGCACUUAACCCUACCGUCUCCUAUAUUUUAAUUCACCCCAACUCCCGUCAAACCCCUUUCUCCUCUAUGGCUUGGCCACAGCGAUGUGGUGAGUUUCUUAUGGGAACAACUGUCAGACGUUUAUUAUGUUUUGAUUUCGGCAAAGUAAACAGUAAAAGUAGAAAAAACAAAAAAAAAACUGUCUUCAAAGUUGUCCAUCCAGUUGGCGAAACAGUGAAGGUUUGACUUGAAAUCUAUCAAUAAAAAACACUGUUUAGUCACGUCGACGUCGGUUAGAAUAGAGUGACAAGAAGUGAACGGUGCGCUCCAGAAAACGAUGCAUCUACUGGGAAACGGGAUCUUCGUCGUCCACCCUGAUGACGGCAAUACGUCUUGGCUCCUGCUGGUGCUGCAAUAUCUAUCGGGACGAUAGGAACGAUGGAAAUUCUCUGCAUUCGGAUGUGUUAUGCUCUGCAUUCGGAUUGGUCAACAAAAGGAAUUGCGUUUGGGACUAGAAAGAUGACAUUCGUGGACCAUCUCAAGCAUCAAUAGCAUUAGGAUGGAUGGUGGGAUGCAUUCGGUAUAGCCGUAUCAGAACGGUGGUAAUCAACUACACCAACAAGGUACUUUACUACUGUCAAUGGCUCUUUCACCAUUUCGGUUAUCAUGGCAAGCCACAUCAUCAUGAAAUUCGACAUGUUUGUCACCGUUUUGGACUAACCCCUAUAGCAACCGUAUAUUGUUAUAAUUUUCGUAUUCUUGUGUAUCAGUUUAGCUAAAACAAUUAAAAUCACAAGGAGAGGGGUGAGGGAUUUUCUUUAGCUAGGAACUACUACAUAUCCGAAAAUUGGUUACCUGGUUCAGCAUGUGCUCCCGGAACUACAAGAUAAUGAUAUGCAGGCUUUCUCUAAUAAUUCAAUGAAAUUCGUUGUAAA